rnacentral:misc_RNA from 1 species
UUUCCGUAGGUGAACCUGCGGAAGGAUCAUUAUCGGGUUUUGACUGGGUUGAGGCUCGCCUUCCGAGGCAUUUGGACGCCCUGCCAAUCCUCUCUACACCUGUGCACCUACUGUGGGUAUCAGAUCGUGAAGCGUCCUCUUUUACUUGAGCUUGUGAAGCGUGUCUGUGCAUGCGUUUAUCACAAACAAUACAAAGUAUCAGAAUGUGUAUGACGAUGUAACGCAUCUAUAUACAACUUUCAGCAACGGAUCUCUUGGCUCUC